rnacentral:lncRNA from 1 species
ACACUAGUACAAAUAUAACAUAUUACACAGCAUGUUUACAUCUGACGAGCAUAUGUCAGAUGUAAAAGGCUAUGUGGAGUAACCUUUUCAUCUGGCUUCAAUAUCCACAGAUGUAAAAAAUAAAUAGACAAGACUUUUUACAUCUGACUUCAAUGUACCAGAAGCAUAACUAAACGCGGUGGCAAUCUUGUAAUUAUGGUGAAAAUUAUCUAAAAUACGUAUGUAUCUGGCCAUAUUUAGGCACAGAUGUAAAAUGUCAGGUUAAAUACAAAAAAAAAAAAAAAUUUUUGGAACGGUAAUAGUGUGAUAUCUCUCUCCCAAGACUUCAGAAAAAACCCUCACCUUCGCAAGAACCGGCGAUGCAAAC